UCAUCUGCACACCCCCAAGAGGCAUAAGCCAAAUGAGCCUCCUCCCAAAUCUGCUCCCCCAAAAUUUGAUAGCACCAAACACUAUGAUGGGGAAAAAAAAGGUGUUCCUGAUUCAGUUGUGGAGGAUGAGGAUAAAGAGGAAAGUGAUGAUGAUUGCAAUGAAUUGCUAAUUGACACCUUAACUCAAGAGGCUGAUGCAGCUCUCUCUGGGCAGAUUGUUCCUGUUAUGGUGGCCAACCACACAUCUCCCUGGGUUUUAACCUAUCAUCUUGGUUGAAGAGAGACAAGUUCUUACCAUCUGUUUCAUCUGUUGCUGCUUCAUGUGAUGCUAAAGUGAUCGAAGAAAUUUUUUCCUUCUCUGAGGAUGAUGGCCCUUUUUUCUCAAGAUUCUCAACCUACCGUGGAGGACAAGAUGCCCACUGUGAUGAUUAAACCUAAGAAACCUCUGGCUCCUGUGAGGCUUAGUGACAGGUUGCAGAAGAAGGGGCAGACAACUAUUCUGCACAGGGUUGAAGCUUUGCUACAGAAGAAAAACUUGAAGUUCUGAGCAACACUUCAGAAGGAGCCUCGGCGACAACAAAUGAUGGAUGGAGCCCAUGGCCUACUCCAGGAGAUGAUGACUCUGCUGAGGCGCGCGCGAGGAAGGUCGUCGGGUGGGGUUUCUGAUCGUCGGCUACUGAAUUGCUAAGAUGAAGAUACCGGAGCUUCUGUUCGUUUGCUUUUAUCUCUGGUCGUUUGCAAACUUCGCUGCUGUGUCAGCUAGCUGGUCCCGUAGUUUGACCCUGUAAUAAACUUCCCUUAAAUAUUGCCCUGCUCUUUGAGCCGGCUCCCUCCCUCCUUGGGGAAUAUUGGGUGUUUGAAAUUCUUCUUUAGACUUGGUAACAGCAGGUUUUCGUCCCAUAGCGAUGGGCCGAGCCGGCCCUGGAGCAGUGGGUUUACUGUUGUUGUAGGUUUGGCUUCCCCCCAAAUUUUCCUCUGCUGUUGGUU